rnacentral:rRNA from 1 species
AGGGUUUGAUUCUGGCUCAGGAUGAACGCUAGCUACAGGCUUAACACAUGCAAGUCGAGGGGCAGCGGGAUUGAAGCUUGCUUCAAUUGCCGGCGACCGGCGCACGGGUGAGUAACGCGUAUCCAACCUUCCGUACACUCAGGGAUAGCCUUUCGAAAGAAAGGUUAAUACCUGAUGGUAUCUUAAGCACACAUGUAAUUAAGAUUAAAGAUUUAUCGGUGUACGAUGGGGAUGCGUUCCAUUAGGUAGUAGGCGGGGUAACGGCCCACCUAGCCAACGAUGGAUAGGGGUUCUGAGAGGAAGGUCCCCCACAUUGGAACUGAGACACGGUCCAA